UCCUGGAAGCGGCACCAGGGACGAGCCCAGCAUCGCCGCUCACAGCUUCUGCCUUCCUUACCCUCUUUCAAAUGCGAACCUCGUGAAACAGCACCAGAGGGGCCUUGCUGGGCGCCCCGCGCGCCCGGGCUCCGGUUUCCCUCAGCGGUCGGUCAGGCAGGCGGAUGCGCCCGCGCAGAUCACGGGGGGCAUCUAGCCGAGCCUCCUCUUAUCAAGAGCAGCCGGCCGGCCGGCCGCCCCCAACAGAAGCCCGCCACAGCACCGCCCUCCUCCCUCCCGGCUGGUGGGCCUCAGCAUGCCCGCCUUGCGAGGCCUGCUCCUGGGGCGGCCCCCGGACAGGGACAAGGACUGGCAGGCGGGGCGCCUCGAGGGCCUGGGGGGGCUCUGCGUCCUGUUGGUGUCGUGGCGGCGGACAAUUCUGACUUGCGCCAUUUCUCAGGUGCUGCAUUAAUCCCCCUCCCCGGGGACAGAGGGCGAGCCAGAGGCCGGCCGCCCCGAUCCAGACCUUGAGGUACUGCUCGGUGCAGAAGAUGCCAGCCCGCACGGGCGCCGGGACGGGCACGGUCAGGUACACCGCCUCGGGCGUCUGAUGCCAGCGGUAGUCGCGCACCCACACCGGCAUUCCCUCGUUGCUAAGGGCCGCGCCGCCGCCGCUGCUAGGUUACGGCUCCUGGAAGCUUCCCAAGCACUUCCGGCAGGCCGGGCUGGAAGGAGGCGGCCCUCUUCGGUGGUGGAGCGCGCAUGCACACUACGCCUCGUAGGCUUCCUUGGAUAAUGUCCCGCGCGGAAGGCCACGACAGGCCUUCGAGGGGAACGGCGGAUGGAGCCGGGCCAGAGGGACUCAAGGGGCGAGAGCGGGUCGGGACGCCGGUGGCAGGGCUUGCGAGGCCUCGCCGGUAGCCCCGGGGUGGUAGAGGAGCGGCCGGCCACGGCGGAAGGCGCCCGGGGAAACGCAGAAACUGUCAGGACUGCGCCUUUAUUCCCUCUGCCAAAGCUCCUAGAUCUUUUAUUGCUCAGAGGGCAUCUCCAUCCUUCGAAAAACUUCCCCUGCUGAAUUUCUGUUCAUCAGUAAUAAAAAGUGUUACUCAGCCAGCAGUUGCAAUCCAAGCAAAGGACAACUCAACUUGUGACCUGAACUCGACAGGAUUCCUCACACGAUUCGUAAAUAGAAGUAUAGUUAUGUCUAAACAACAGAAAUGAAAUGUACAAGUGAUGGAGGCCCCCCCUAAGCAGACCAGUCAUUCUCUGGAAUAAAAUCAGUCUCUCAUAACACCAACAGAUAGCGAUUCACCAAGUGACACUUUGGUUGAGUACGUUAAGUAUAAAUCACUUCCAUCACAUCUACCAUUGGACAAUCUCCACCAGAACCUUCUUAACAAUCAGUUUAAAUACCACAAAACAUGUAGAAACCAAUUCAACACCCAGAAGAUUGACAGACUCAAGAAGAAACCAUGACUGGAUCAAGAUAUCUCAGCGGAGCAAUCAUCAUCUAAAACUCCUGUUGUGGAUCCUCCUGAAGCUAAAAGCAGUGACUGAUAUAAGAUCGGUACUUUCUAAAUCAAUGUGCAUUUUCUGUGAAGAGGGUGAGCAUAAGGAAAAACUAGUGUCUGCAUCAACUCUUGGUAUUGGACCAAGUAUAUAUGCAUUCACAGUGGUACUUCAAGAUGAUAAACUGCUUACGAAGUUGAAUUAAACAUACAUGUAAAUGGCCAAUUGCCAAAAAAAUCCAACACAGUCACAUUUGCCUUCAAAAGAGGGAACUUCCCCAAAAUGAGGGAAUUGAUAAAAAGGAAAUUGAAAGUCUAGGAUCAAAUCACUCCAAAAUACUUGGGAGUUGUUUAAAAACACAGUAUUAGAAACUCAACUUUGGAGUACAUACCUCAGAUCAGGAAAGGUACCACCAGGGCCAAGAGGAUGCCAGUGUGGUUAAUAAGCAGAUUCAAAGAAUCUAUUAGAAGCAAGAAAAAUUCCUUCAAAAAAUGGAAGACUUAUCCAAAUGAGGAUAAUACUUGGGUAUUCCAAGUUUUCCCUGCUGCCUUGAUGUUUAAUUGCUUAGAAGUGCAAGAAGAUAAUAAGGGAUGCUAAAAAAAAGAAUUUGAGGAGCACAUUGCUAAAAACAUAAAAACAAAAAAUUCUUUAAAUACAUUAAAAACAGACAGUCUAGGGUGGUGGUUGGAUCCUUGGAUAACAAAGGAGUCAAAGGUGUGCUAAAGGAAGAUAAAGAGACUGCAGAGAAGCUAAAUGAAUUCUUUGUAUCUGUCUUCACAGUGGAGGAUAUACAGUAGGACAGAUCCCUGUGCCUGAACUAACAUUUGCAGGAAGGGGGUCUGAUGAACUGAGGCAAAUAAUGGUGAUGAGAGAUGAAGUUCUAGGUUUAACAGACAAAAUAAAACUGACAAAUUGCUGGGUCUGGAUGGCAUCCACCGGAGAGUUCUCAAAGAAAUCAAAUGUGAAAUUGCUGAUCUUCUGACAAAAAUAUGUAACGUAACUCUCAGAUCCGCCUCCAUCCCUGAGGACUAGAAAGUGGCCAAUGUAACACCAAUCUUUAUAAAGGGAUCCAGGGGGGAUCCCAGAAAUUACAAACCCGUUAGCUUAACAUCUGCUGUGAGAAAACUGGUAGAAAGUAAUGUUAAAGAUAUACCCAGCAUAUAUGUAAGAGCGAGCCUUGCUGAAGCAGAACCAGACUGGCUUCUGCAAGGGAAAGUCCUGUCUCAUUAAUCUACUAGAAUUCUCUGAGAGUGUCAACAAGCAUAUAGACAGAAGUCAUCCGUUAGACAGUGUACUUGGACUUUCCAAAAGCUUUUGACGAGGUACCUCACAAAAGACUCCUGAGGAAGCUUAGCAGUCACGGAAUGAAAAGAGGUCCUCUUGCAGAUCAGGAAUUAGGAUCUAGAGUUGGGGUGAGCAGUGAGGUGGCCAAGUUUGCUGAUGAUACUAAAUUGUUCAGGGUGGUGAAAACAAAAUGGGAUUACAAAGAGCUCCCAAAGGACCUCUCCAAACUGACUGAAUAAUAAAUAAAAUAAAUAAUAAUAAUAAUAAAUUUAAUUUCUGUGUCGCCUAUCUGGCCAAAGGCCACUCUAGGCGACGUACAAAACAGUUAAAACACAAUGAGAUAAAAUACAAUAAUACAAUAAAAAACAGUAUGAGAAUAAUACAGCAGCAACAAUAUUAAAACAGGGUAGGAGGCAUUUCAGUCACAGUAAUUAACCCUCCCCGGAGAUCCCAAAGGCCUGUUGAAAGAGCCAGGUCUUUAAGGCUUUACGGAAUACAUUUAGGGAAGAGGCGUGCCGGAUAUCUUGUGGGAGGGAGUUCCAGAGAGUGGGGGCCGCCACUGAGGAUGCCCUCUCUCUUGUACCUGCCAAUCUAGCUGUUUUUGUCAGCGGGAUUGAGAGAAGGCCUUGAGUGGCUGAUCUUGUCGGGCGGCAUAAUUGGUGGCGUUGAAGGCGCUCCGUAAGAUAAACUGGGCCGAGACCGUAUAGGGAUUUAAAGGUUAAUACCAACACCUUGAAUUGGGCCCGGAAAACAACUGGAAGCCAGUGUAUAUCGAACAACACUGGUGUGAUGUGAUCCCGGCGGCGACUAUUCGUAAGUAGUCGAGCCACCGCAUUUUGUAUAAGUUGUAAUUUCCGGACCGUUUUCAAGGGUAACCCCACGUAGAGCGCAUUACAGUAGUCCAAACGAGAGGUGACCAGGGCGUGUACUACCAGGGGGAGCUGAUGAACAGGAAGGUAGGGUUGCAGCCUUCGUAUGAGGUGUAGUUGAUACCAGGCUGCCCGGCUCUCCGCCGAAAUCUGAGCCUCCAUGGACAGCCUGGAGUCAAGUACAACCCCAAGGCUGCGGACCUGGUGGUAAAAUGGCAAAUGCAAUUCAAUGUGAGCAAGCGCUUGUGCCAUCCCUAUUAUCUUUUCGGUGCCUAUUGAAGAUCCUCCUCUUUCAACAAGCCUUGUAAGUUGUGACCUUAUCACAGUCUGCGUCUGUGUUGGAAUUGCUUUUUAAUGUUUAUAACCUUUUUUUAAAGAUGUCUUGAAAGCUUUCUUUUUAAAAAAAAAUUUCAAGAUGUUUUGUUU